CCUACGGGAGGCUGCAGUGGGGAAUAUUGGACAAUGGGGGGAACCCUGAUCCAGCCAUGCCGCGUGUGUGAAGAAGGCCCUCGGGUUGGAAAGCACUUUCAGUGAGGAAGAACGCCUGGUGGUUAAUACCCAUCAGGAAAGACAUCACUCACAGAAGAAGCACCGGCUAACUCCGUGCCAGCAGCCGCGGUAAUACGGAGGGUGCGAGCGUUAAUCGGAAUUACUGGGCGUAAAGCGCGCGUAGGUGGCUUGAUAAGCCGGUUGUGAAAGCCCCGGGCUCAACCUGGGAACGGCAUCCGGAACUGUCAAGCUAGAGUGCAGGAGAGGAAGGUAGAAUUCCCGGUGUAGCGGUGAAAUGCGUAGAGAUCGGGAGGAAUACCAGUGGCGAAGGCGGCCUUCUGGACUGACACUGACACUGAGGUGCGAAAGCGUGGGUAGCAAACAGGAUUAGAUACCCGAGUAGUC
rnacentral:rRNA from 1 species